rnacentral:rRNA from 1 species
CAGCCCUAAACGAUGCGCGUUAGGUGUAUCGGUGACCACGAGUCACCGAGGUGCCGAAGGGAAACCGUGAAACGUGCCGCCUGGGAAGUACGGUCGCAAGGCUGAAACUUAAAGGAAUUGGCGGGGGAGCACCACAACAGGUGGAGCCUGCGGUCUAAUUGGACUCAACGCCGGGAAGCUCACCGGAUAGGACAGCAGAAUGAUUGCCGGGCUGAAGACCCUGCAUGACUAGCUGAGAGGAGGUGCAUGGCGUCAGUGACU